CAGAAGUGAAAGGUAAUUUGUUUCUUGAUGUCCACUGUUAUGUGAGUGGACCGAAUCCCCUACAAGAGCUAGCUGCCGAGUUCAGAUACCAUAUAUUCUCCAAGGAAUUGCCAUUGGUACUUGAGGCUGUGCUCUAUGGGGAUUCAGAUUUCUUCAAGGAGCAUGAAGAACUAAUGAAUGCUACUGUUAGAGUCUAUUUUCAUUCUAGCUCGAAGAAGUACAACCGUGUAGAAUGUUG
rnacentral:misc_RNA from 1 species